rnacentral:tRNA from 1 species
GUCAGGAUGAUCGAGUGGUUUAAGGCGCUAGACUCAAGUUUUGGUUCUCGUGAGAGAGCGUGGGUUCAAAUCCCACUUUUGACA